UGAAUACGAGAUGCUACGGCAUUGAAGCAGUGUAUGUCAGACUUCCAAGAAAAGCUCGCAAUGUCAUAAACAAUAAAUGCCUGUACCAUAACCGACACAGGUGGGUAGGUAGAGUAUACUAAGGGGCGCGAGAUAACUCUCUCUAAGGAACUCGGCAAAAUGACUCCGUAACUUCGGGAGAAGGAGUGCCUUAUUUUAUAAGGUUGCAAUAACAAGAUCCAAGCAACUGUUUACCAAAAACACAGGUCUCCGCUAAGUCGAAAGACGAUGUAUGGGGGCUGACGCCUGCCCAGUGCCAGAAGGUUAAAGAAGUUGGUUAGCUUCGGCGAAGCUGAUGACUGAAGCCCUGGUGAACGGCGGCCGUAACAAUAACGGUCCUAAGGUAGCGAAAUUCCUUGUCGGGUAAGUUCCGACCCGCACGAAAGGCGUAAUGAUUUGGAUACUGUCUCGGAGAGGGGCUCGGUGAAAUAGACUUGUCUGUGAAGAUGCGGACUACCUGCACCUGGACAGAAAGACCCUAUGAAGCUUUACUGUAACUUGAGAUUGAAAUUGGACUUUAUUUGCGCAGUAUAGGUGGGAGACGUUGAGAAUAUUCUUGCGGGAAUAUUGGAGUCAUCAGUGAGAUACCACUCUUGUAAUGUUAGAUUUCUAACUUUGUAUCAUUAUCUGGUCAAAGGACAGUUUCAGGCGGGCAGUUUGACUGGGGCGGUCGCCUCCUAAACGGUAACGGAGGCGCACAAAGGUUUCCUCUGAACGUGUAGAAAUCGUAUCUAGAGUGUAAAGGCAUAAGGAAGCUUGACUGUGAGACCUACAAGUCGAGCAGGGACGAAAGUCGGUCUUAGUGAUCUGACGGUGCUGAGUGGAAAGGCCGUCACUCAACGGAUAAAAGUUACUCUAGGAUAACAGGCUGAUCUCCCCCAAGAGUUCACAUCGACGGGGAGGUUUGGCACCUCGAUGUCGGCUCAUCGCAUCCUGGGGCGGUAGUACGUCCCAAGGGUUGGGCUGUUCGCCCAUGAAAGCGGUACGCGAGCUGGGUUCAGAACGUCGUGAGACAGUUCGGUCCAUAUCCGGUGUAGGCGUUAGAAUAUUGAGAGGAGCCUUCUUUAGUACGAGAGGACCGAGAAGGACAUACCUCUGGUGUACCAGUUAUCGUGCCAACGGUAAACGCUGGGUAGCUAUGUAUGGAGUGGAUAACCGCUGAAAGCAUCUAAGUGGGAAGCCCACCUCAAGAUAAGUAUUCUC
rnacentral:rRNA from 1 species